rnacentral:rRNA from 1 species
GACGAACGCUGGCGGCGUGCCUAAUACAUGCAAGUCGAACGAACCGCGACUGAGUGCUUGCACUUGGUCAAGGUGAGUGGCGAACGGGUGAGUAACACGUGGGUAACCUACCUCAUAGUGGGGGAUAACAGUCGGAAACGACUGCUAAUACCGCAUAGGACAUGGAAUCACAUGAUUCUGUGAGGAAAGGUGGCGCAAGCUAUCGCUAAGAGAUGGACCCGCGGUGCAUUAGCUAGUUGGUAGGGUAAGGGCCUACCAAGGCGAUGAUGCAUAGCCGACCUGAGAGGGUGAUCGGCCACAUUGGGACUGAGACACGGCCCAAACUCCUACGGGAGGCGGCAGUAGGGAAUCUUCCGCAAUGGACGCAAGUCUGACGGAGCAACGCCGCGUGAGUGAAGAAGGUCUUCGGAUCGUAAAGCUCUGUUGUUAGAGAAGAACAGCGCAUAGAGUAACUGUUAUGCGUGUGACGGUAUCUAACCAGAAAGCCACGGCUAACUACGUG